rnacentral:rRNA from 1 species
AACGAACGCUGGCGGCAUGCCUAACACAUGUCAGUCGAACGAGACCUUCGGGUCUAGUGGCGCACGGGUGCGUAACGCGUGGGAACCUGCCCUUAGGUUCGGAAUAACUCCCCGAAAGGGGUGCUAAUACCGGAUAAUGUCUUCGGACCAAAGAUUUAUCGCCUUUGGAUGGGCCCGCGUUGGAUUAGCUAGUUGGUAGGGUAAAAGCCUACCAAGGCGACGAUCCAUAGCUGGUCUGAGAGGAUGAUCAGCCACACUGGGACUGAGACACGGCCCAGACUCCUACGGGAGGCAGCAGUGGGGAAUAUUGGACAAUGGGCGAAAGCCUGAUCCAGCAAUGCCGCGUGAGUGAUGAAGGCCUUAGGGUUGUAAAGCUCUUUUACCCGGGAUGAUAAUGACAGUACCGGGAGAAUAAGCUCCGGCUAACUCCGUG